rnacentral:rRNA from 1 species
CUACACGACCGUACCGCAAACCGACACUGGUGCGCGAGAUGAGUAUUCUAAGGCGCUUGAGAGAACUCAGGAGAAGGAACUCGGCAAAUUGACACCGUAACUUCGGAAGAAGGUGUGCCUUUAGUAGGUGAACCUGUACAAGGGGAGCCCAAUGAGGUUGCAAAAAAUCGGUGGCUGCGACUGUUUAAUAAAAACACAGCACUCUGCAAACACGAAAGUGGACGUAUAGGGUGUGACGCCUGCCCGGUGCUGGAAGAUUAAAUGAUGGGGUGCAAGCUCUUGAUUGAAGUCCCAGUAAACGGCGGCCGUAACAAUAACGGUCCUAAGGUAGCGAAAUUCCUUGUCGGGUAAGUUCCGACCUGCACGAAUGGCGUAACGAUGACCACACUGUCUCCUCCUGAGACUCAGCGAAGUUGAAAUGUUAGUGAUGAUGCAAUCUCCCCGCGGAAAGACGGAAAGACCCCAUGAACCUUUACUGUAGCUUUGUAUUGGACUUUGAACAGAUCUGUGUAGGAUAGGUGGGAGGCUUUGAAGUGUGGUCGCUAGAUCGCACGGAGCCAACGUUGAAAUACCACCCUGGUGUGUUUGAGGUUCUAACCUAGGCCCGUAAUCCGGGUCGGGGACAGUGCAUGGUAGGCAGUUUGACUGGGGCGGUCUCCUCCCAAAGCGUAACGGAGGAGUUCGAAGGUACGCUAGGUACGGUCGGACAUCGUGCUAAUAGUGCAAUGGCAUAAGCGUGCUUAACUGCGAGACUGACAAGUCGAGCAGAUGCGAAAGCAGGACAUAGUGAUCCGGUGGUUCUGUAUGGAAGGGCCAUCGCUCAACGGAUAAAAGGUACUCUGGGGAUAACAGGCUGAUACCGCCCAAGAGUUCAUAUCGACGGCGGUGUUUGGCACCUCGAUGUCGGCUCAUCUCAUCCUGGGGCUGUAGCCGGUCCCAAGGGUAUGGCUGUUCGCCAUUUAAAGAGGUACGUGAGCUGGGUUUAAAACGUCGUGAGACAGUUUGGUCCCUAUCUUCCGUGGGCGCUGCAGAUUUGAGGAAGCCUGCUCCUAGUACGAGAGGACCGGAGUGGACACACCUCUGGUGUAUCGGUUGUCACGCCAGUGGCAUUGCCGAGUAGCUAUGUGUGGAAGAGAUAACCGCUGAAAGCAUCUAAGCGGGAAACUCGUUUCAAGAUGAGAUCUGCCGGGGCCUUGAGCCCCCUAAAGAGUCGUUCAAGACCAGGACGUUGAUAGGUCGGGUGUGGAAGCGCAGUAACGCGUUAAGCUAACCGAUACUAAUUGCUCGUGCGGCUUGAUCAA